rnacentral:ncRNA from 1 species
UUGUAUCAUUCACUCUCAACUUGGAUAAAUUCAAGGGAAGAGGGCUAUUAAGAUUCCAAGACUUGUCCAGCUCAAACUCGAAGGAAAGGGAUCGGGAAUUUUCCGCAAUGGGCGAAUGCCUGACGGAGCAAUGCCGCGUGGAGGUGGAAGGCCUACGGGUCGUCAACUUCUUUUCUUGAAGAAGAAACAGUGACGAUAUCUGAGGAAUAAGCAUCAGAUAACUCUGUGCCAGCAGCCGCGGUAAGACAAAUGAUGCAAGUGUUAUCCGAAAUGAUUGGGCGUAAAUCAUCUGUAGGUGGCUUUUUUCCGGAGGGUAUCAUUACCUCACUA